rnacentral:rRNA from 1 species
UACGGGGGGGGCAAGCGUUGUUCGGAAUUACUGGGCGUAAAGGGCUCGUAGGCGGCCAACUAAGUCAGACGUGAAAUCCCUCGGCUUAACCGGGGAACUGCAUCUGAUACUGGAUGGCUUGAGUUCGGGAGAGGGAUGCGGAAUUCCAGGUGUAGCGGUGAAAUGCGUAGAUAUCUGGAGGAACACCAGAGGCGAAGGCGGCUACCUGGACAAUUGCUGACGCUCAGGCACGAAAGCGUGGGGAGCAAACAGG